GGAGGGCGCGAGCGUUGUUCGGAAUUACUGGGCGUAAAGCGCGUGUAGGCGGCCAGGUAAGUCGGAUGUGAAAGCCCGGGGCCCAACCCCGGAACUGCACCCGAUACUGCCCGGCUGGAGUCCCGGAGAGGAUGGCGGAAUUUCCGGUGUAGAGGUGAAAUUCGUAGAUAUCGGAAGGAACACCAGUGGCGAAGGCGGCCAUCUGGACGGUGACUGACGCUGAGACGCGAAAGCGUGGGGAGCAAACAGGAUUAGAUACCCUGGUAGUCCACGCUGUAAACGUUGGGUGCUAGACGUCGGGGGUAUUGACCCCUCCGGUGUCGAAGCUAACGCAUUAAGCACCCCGCCUGGGGAGUACGGCCGCAAGGCU
rnacentral:rRNA from 1 species